GCUCCGCAGUCCUGGGGUCUUCUAUAUCCGAAGCUGAGACCCGGCAAGUUUGGCUAACUUCUCCUGUCAACAACCUUGGCAGGGUCCUUCAACCGUACAGUGUGUUGUGUUAUUACGAUGCCCACUUGUGUGGCGUGUGGCAGUUUCCCCAACGUUUUCAUAAGUAUUACCUAUAUCUCAGGGAGCUCAUGAAGCACCAGUAAGAAAAGGAAAACUGAGUCCCAGAAAGGCGCAAGGUCACAUACUCAGUGAUUUCUCAGCUAGCCUUGAAUCCUGCGCCGUGCGGGACAGCGCGGGGUUGGAACCUUCCCGGACUCAGGCAGGUCCCUGCGUGUGGAGGGGGCGGCUGAGAGGCGCCAGACUUGCCAGCUGCUGCGGGAUGCCACGUGAGGGGCGGGGACCCUGCGGGGAAGUGAUUAAAAGCAGAGCCGAGCCGCAGGGGGCCGCUGCGGGGAGGGUCUUCUUGGGGCUGCCUUGCCCCGUCCCAGUCCAGCCGUGGCGGGGGGUUCGAGCCACAGCUCCGCAGGCCUCAGCGUACGGGGCAUGAGUGAGGUUUGGGGGGCCGAAGGGCCUCGGUGCCAGGCGGCGCUCGCGGUCCUGGCCUCUCUGUGCCGGGCCCGGCCGCCCCCUCUCGGACUGGACGUGGAGACUUGUCGGAGCUUUGAGCUGCAGCCCCCGGAGCAGAGUCCGAGCGCGGCCAACUCAGGCCCCUCUGUCAGCCUCCUCGCCGUGGUAGUUAUUGUGUGUGGCGUGGCCCUGGUGGCAGUUUUUCUCUUUCUCUUUUGGAAGCUGUGCUGGAUGCCCAGGAGGAACAAGGAGGCCUCCAGCCCUUCUUCUGCUAACCCUGCUUCAGAGACUCUCCAGAGUCCCAGCUCCAGAGGCAACAUGGCAGAUAAGCUGAAGGACCCCAGUGCCCUGGGCUUCCUGGAGGCGGCUGUGAAGAUCAGCCACACGUCCCCAGAUAUUCCAGCUGAGGUGCAGAUGUCGGUCAAAGAGCAUAUCAUGCGUCACACGAGGCUGCAGCGACAGACCACAGAACCAGCAUCUUCUACCAGGCACACGUCCUUCAAGCGCCACCUGCCACGGCAGAUGCACGUCUCCAGCGUAGACUAUGGCAAUGAGCUGCCGCCAGCGGCCGAGCAGCCCACCAGCAUUGGCCGCAUCAAGCCCGAGCUCUAUAAGCAGAAGUCAGUGGAUGGGGAGGAUGCCAAGUCCGAGGCGGCCAAGAGCUGUGGGAAGAUCAACUUCAGCCUCCGCUACGACUACGAGAGUGAGACCCUGAUUGUGCGUAUCCUGAAGGCCUUUGACCUCCCCGCCAAGGACUUCUGUGGAAGUUCUGACCCUUAUGUCAAGAUCUACCUCCUGCCUGACCGCAAGUGCAAGCUGCAGACGCGGGUGCACCGCAAGACCCUGAACCCCACCUUUGAUGAGAACUUCCACUUCCCAGUGCCCUACGAGGAACUGGCUGACCGCAAGCUGCAUCUCAGUGUCUUUGACUUUGACCGCUUCUCCCGCCAUGACAUGAUCGGGGAGGUCAUCCUGGACAAUCUCUUUGAGGCCUCUGACCUGUCCCGGGAGACCUCCAUUUGGAAGGACAUCCAGUACGCCACUAGUGAAAGUGUGGACCUGGGAGAGAUCAUGUUCUCCCUCUGCUACCUGCCCACAGCAGGCAGGCUCACCCUCACCGUGAUCAAGUGCCGCAAUCUCAAGGCCAUGGACAUCACAGGCUACUCAGAUCCCUACGUCAAAGUAUCCCUGCUGUGUGACGGGCGGAGGCUGAAGAAGAAGAAAACAACCAUCAAAAAGAACACCCUCAAUCCCGUCUACAACGAGGCCAUCAUCUUUGACAUCCCCCCAGAAAACAUGGAUCAAGUGAGCCUGCUCAUCUCUGUUAUGGACUAUGAUAGAGUUGGUCACAAUGAGAUCAUAGGAGUCUGUAGAGUGGGGAUCAAUGCUGAAGGCCUCGGCAGGGACCACUGGAACGAGAUGCUGGCGUAUCCACGGAAACCCAUUGCACACUGGCACUCCUUGGUGGAGGUAAAGAAAUCCUUCAAAGAGGGAACCCCUCGGUUGUGAUUUCACUCACGUGGAUGCUGCAAGCGGAGAGACAGCCACUGGAGUUAGGAUGGCAGGGCCGAGCUGCCAGCUUCGACAGUGAGAGCUCAUGCCCGUCUCCGAAACCACCUCCGACACCAUGAGCCGCGCAGCCGAGCCGCGCAAACGGGACUCAGCAAUGUUCUUUUCGCACUUGUUUCAGCCGUCUAGACGCAGUGUCUGUGCAGUCAUGGUGAUGGCGGCGGCAGCCGCCACUGCCUGCCAGCCCACGGUCUUCACUGCUCCUGGGCAAGGCAAGGCCGAGACCCUUGUCGUCUGUGAUCAGACCUGUCUUAGUCUUUUCUGUCUCCCAAGGUGAUGUUUUCGUGGUUUUUCGCUUUGUUUGGGUCUGCUGUCAAGAAAGGAAGAAAGAUGCAAUGAUGGAGAGAUACAGAACAGAGAGUGGAGAGCCCAGACGUCAGCUCUGGGAAAUACAAUGUAAAAUAAGCAGUCUUUUGGGGAAAGGCAGACUGGAUCUGAAAUUUUGUGCCUCCACCACGUGCUCACCCCUGGAGAGCGCAGCAGUAGGCUGGAGCUGUGGCCAUAUUGUCAGCGCCCUGCAAGAAUGGGACCUAUCAAUCUAGGAGCCAGCCUCUCUUCACUGCUGUGACACAAGCCAAGGCAUGGUCCUCUUGUUCCAUGUUGAAAUCAUGAGACCUUGGCCAUGUUUGUGACUCUGUAGGGGAUCCCUGCAACCCUUUGUUGGCUUUCCCUAACUGGGAACGCUUGAUCCCUCGUGGAAACUUCAAUCCCGCUCAAACUAAACACGCCAUAUGUUUUCCCACACACUGCAGUUAAUAAUCACAUUUGUUUGAAAACAAGAUUUAGUUCUCAAAAAUAACCUUCAUUGUAAAGAAAGGAGGCGCAUAUGUGAUUUCCAGAGAGAUUUCUGUGUUAUACAUAGCUUUCUAAUUCCACAAAGGACCAAGCAGCUGUUUAAGAUGUCUAAACAGAGCAAAGAAAAAUCUAGACAACACGUUCUUUUCUGAAUGGGGCAUUUUGAAAUCCAAUCCACAAUUUUGAGUCUGCCUGUCUAUGAAGAGCCUCCUCUUAGCUGAAACCCAGUCUGCCGGAGACUAGUUCAGCCCCACAGACUCUGGGUUAGUAACUUACCUUAAACUUUAGUUCUAGAAACUAUUAAGUAUUCUGUGGUGUUUGUUUCCGUCUCAGUGAGAAGAUCUUUGCUUGUUUGUUUUUUCUAUAGCUCUCUACCAUAGGACAAGUUCAGUUUAGAAAAAAAAAAAAAACAACGAAUGACUGUAUUUAUAAUAGCACAUUCCUAUCGUGGCCUUCCCACCGCGCCCUGUUAGUGGGGUGAUCGGCCCAGUCUAAAGUAAGCACACGAGGUUAGUUCCCACCCCUACUUGGGGCUCCACAGGACCGAUUGUAGGCCCUGCAGGAAGCAAGCAAGCUUGGAGAAAGCCCUUCUUUCAACAACAGAAGAACAGAGAUGCUAUCCUCACACCUCGUAUCUUACUCUACAAAGACCCCAUGCUAUAGGAGUAGUGGUUUAAUAAAGCAACCCCCAGUUUAAGUCAAACCACCAAGUUUCUCUGCGGCUCUAACUGUAUGUAGUGCCUGCCAGCCAGAAGAAGGUUGGAAUGAGCCAACAGGAUAGUGUGGCAAGGAAGCCGUCUACUUUCUAGUAAAUGUAGAGGAAUCUGGACUCCGCUGAGAAUGAACCUCGGGCUAGAGACUAGCGUGUAAAGAUUGUCUCCCCAGAUAUCUUACAACUGAUAAGUCUUUCUAGCCAGGCAGUCCCCUAUUUGGAAGUAAUCUUGAGAGGGAGAAAACCCACAAAGUAAUGACAAGAGUCCCAGCAAGCAGCCAGCUUCAUUGUGUUUCUCGACGCUAAAUGGACCACACUAAGGCAACUAUUGUAGCCAUACAUCCGUGCAACUAGGAAGGGGACGGGGUUUUAUGGGUGAUAAGGAGCAUAGAGGUUAGUGUGAGCAUUCCAUCCUCCCAGAAGUGGGUUCCAAAUGCAUGCCCACCUGCCACCCCUAAACCCUCAAGCUGGUAGGAUGCUCCAUCCUGAACUUUUAGAGAGGAGGGUGUGGUCUGUGUGGAUUAUGGAAUAACACUGGCUGUCAGAGAGACCCUUCUAUGUCACAGCUAUUCUUUCCACUAAGUGAACACCCCAACACUUUCAGGAAGCCGUGCCCUGGUUAUGGCCAGCCUCUUACCACCCCAGUCAGCCGCUUUAGUUCCAUCAGCCACGGUAUACAGUAGGCAUGGAAGCCCACUCCAGGAAGGCUUUUAGCUCCUGGGUCCCCGCCCCCCAAGGCCUCACCAAGGGUGGCCAGAUCAGUCCUCCUCUUCCUGAAGCAUGAUUGAUACAAACGGGCUUCUCCUUUCAACAGCCUAGGAUUCCUCCCUCGAGAUGAGAAUUCCUAGAAAGCUGAUACAGCAGAAACUGACCGGCUUGCUGGCUUCCCCUAGCACAAGAAACCCUUUGGGGGUGGUGAUGGGCUUUGCUGAAGUUGUGAUAACUGGGGCCAUUUGCACACAGAGGUUUGCAAAGGACGCCAGAUUCUCUUCCAUUAGUUCGCGGUGUUUCUUGGCUGAGAGACGCUCCCCUCCCCCUUUGCACUUAUCUGGGAUGUUAAUUAAUUGUAUCAUCAUUUUAAAAAAUUAUGUUGUUAAUUACUGCUUUGUGUCUUCCCACCCCUGUCACCGCCUGGAGUUUUUAUUCAAUUAAAUCUCUGUCUCUUG